rnacentral:hammerhead_ribozyme from 1 species
CUACUGCUGAGGAGUCCCACAAUAGGACGAAACGGCCGUACAGUAC